ACAGCAGCCCUGACUACAGCGUUCCUGGAGCCCAGGAUCUUUUCCACAGAGGAGGAAAGAGCAGGCAGCAGAGACCAUGGGGCCCCCCUCAGCCUCUCCCCACAGAGAAUGCAUUCCCUGGCAGGGGCUUCUGCUCACAGCCUCACUUCUAAACUUCUGGAACCCGCCCACCACUGCCCAACUCACUAUUGAAUCCACGCCGUUCAAUGUCGCAGAGGGGAAGGAGGUUCUUCUACUCACCCACAAUCUGCCCCAGAAUCAUAUUGGCUACACCUGGUACAAAGGGGAAAGAGUGGAUAGCAACCGUCUAAUUCUAGCAUAUAAAAUAGAAACUCAAAAAGCUGCCCCAGGGCCCGCAUACAGUGGUCGAGAGACAAUAUGCCCCAAUGCAUCCCUGCUGAUCCAGAACAUCACCCAGAAUGACACAGGAUCCUACACCCUACAAGUCAUAAGGUCAGAUCUUGUGAAUGAAGAAGCAACUGGACAGUUCCAUGUAUACCGUGAGUAUUUCCCCAUGACCUCUGGGUGUUGGGGGUUAGUUCUACUUCCCACAUACGGGAUUGUCAGGCGUGGGCUGUGCCUGUGGCC
rnacentral:sRNA from 1 species